rnacentral:rRNA from 1 species
CACGUAGGGGGCGAGCGUUGUCCGGAAUCAUUGGGCGUAAAGAGCUCGUAGGCGGCUCGGUAAGUCGGGUGUGAAACCCCCAGGCUCAACCUGGGGACGCCACCCGAUACUGCUGUGGCUAGAGUCCAGUAGGGGAGUGUGGAAUUCCCGGUGUAGCGGUGAAAUGCGCAGAUAUCGGGAGGAACACCAGCGGCGAAGGCGACUUCCUGGACCAAUACUGACGCUCAGGUGCGAAAGCGUGGGGAGCAAACAGG